rnacentral:rRNA from 1 species
GAUGAACGCUGGCGGCGUGCCUAAUACAUGCAAGUCGAGCGAACGGACGAGAAGCUUGCUUCUCUGAUGUUAGCGGCGGACGGGUGAGUAACACGUGGAUAACCUACCUAUAAGACUGGGAUAACUUCGUGAAACCGUAGCUAAUACCGGAUAAUAUUUUGAACCGCAUGGUUCAAAAGUUAAAGACGGUCUUGCUGUCACUUAUAGAUGUAUCCUCGCUGCAUUAGCUAGUUGGUAAGGUAACGGCUUACCAAGGCAACGAUGCAUAGCCGACCUGAGAGGGUGAACGGCCACACUGGAACUGAGACACGGUCCAGACUCCUACGGGAGGCAGCGGUAGGGAAUCUUCCGCAAUGGGCGAAAGCCUGACGGAGCAACGCAGCGUGAGUGAUGAAGGUCUUCGGAUCGUAAAACUCUGUUAGUAGGGAAGAACAUAUGUGUAAGUAACUGUGCACAUCUUGACGGUACCUAAUCAGAAAGCCACGGCUAACUACGUG